rnacentral:lncRNA from 1 species
GGAUUAUCACAAAGUGUUGAAGCUUGUGCUUCUGGGUUUCAACUGCCGCUUCAUUAUCCUCGAUACUCGAAGGCUGAUUAUGAGAAGAUGGAGGACUGGAAGCUUGACAUGCUUCUCAGAGAAUAUGGCCUAUGUUUCCAGGGGACUCCUGAUGAAAAGAGAGCAUUCGCAAUGGGAGCAUUUUUAUGGCCAGAUCAAUAUUGACUUAUAACCAGCUCUAGGUUUUGAUUUGAGAUAUCCUUACAGUACUAUUGUCGCUUAAUUAUAUUAAUCACGCAUGUUUUUAUACUUUAUCAUAAGGCGCAUAUGGUUUUGUUAUUCUUGUUUAUGUAACAUGGUCUUUCUCUUAAAUAAAAAAGUGACUUACCUGACGGGAGGGAGGAAAAAAAAAAAAAAAAAAAACUGGUUGUACUUAUAUUACUUUUUCUGUAAUAUGUGUGUAUGGCUGUAUGCAAGUGUAUGUCUAUAUAUAUACACGCUCCUUCUUAUGUUAUAAGUUUUAGCCCUGAUUUCUGGUUUCAAGGCAUCAUAUGAUUUAAAUGAAUUUAGAUUAAUUAAGUUAAAAGCAUUUUUGUGAAGAAGAUCAUGUUUUAGUAGACAUCUUAAAAUUUUAUCUCAAAAUUUCGUAAUGUUCAUAAAGUAGAGAGUAAAACUAUGUAAUUAAUUAAUUCACCUAAAAGAAAAAUUAUCAAUUACUUAAUGAAUAACAUAUCACAUAUCAUAGGGCACAACUAUGGUACCACUGUGGUACCAUACCACAGCUGGAUCCAGCCAUUGGAUCCGGCCUACAGUGGUCCCCAUAGCUGGAUCCAAUGGCUGGAUCCAGCUGUGGUAUGGUACCACAGUGGUACCAUAGCCGGACCCCAUAUCAUAUCCUUUGACAUGAAACUUCAGACAAAUUUUUAAAAAUAUGUAAUAAUAUUAUUUCUCUUUUGCCAGCGAUACAUAUAAUAAAUAUUAAUUAGUGGUGUGUAAAUGUUAACUAAGAAAUUAAUGCCUCGCAGCAUGCUAGUCAAAGUUCAUUGAAAAUAAUAAUUAAUAAUAAUGCUUUGCUUUUACACAAGCAAUUUGUAGUGCUCCUUGUUUAUUCACUUGAAAGAAUUAUAGAUUCAAAUUCAGUGAUCGAUUGGCGAAAAAGUGUGAUCUGAAUUGAAGUUUAGUAUUCGAAUGGUUAUUGAUGUACUAGCUAGAAACAUCAGAAGUAAGCAUGCAGAAUAUCUAUUAAAUUAUAAUUUCGUCAAAAGAUUAAUACCAUUUCGUUUUCAUUUAUUAUUAUUUUUGAAUCAACAUUAUUAUUAUGUCUUUUCGUGUCGAAAUUUUGUAUACUACUAAUAUAUUUAAAUAUUUUUUUCGUCAAUAAUACCAUAGUGUGCUAGCAUGAAAAUGACAUGGACAUUAGUCAAUGGAGUGCACAUGUAAAAUUAUUCCUGGUUUUUCAAGAAGUUUAUUAAUUGUAUAGUCCUAGCCAGCUAUGGCAAACAAAAAUUUACCGAAUAAAUUAAAUUCAACAAUUAAUUGGGAUGGUUUUGUUUCUUUCUUGAUCCUACUAGUGUAGUUUAAUUUAAUGACAUUACGUACAUCAGCAGUUUCUUGACAAAGAAGAAAGCUAACCUGGAUUAGCUUGGUUUGCUUGAAAAUUGAACCGGAAGAAUUUUGCUUGUAUUGCAGGGUACUGCGUGUACGGCAGACAAGAGCCCCUGUUUGAGUGGGCGCAAAGAAAUUUGGUAGUAAAAACAAGUUCGAAGUUGCUUGUUUUUGCCGCUUUUUAACAUUUCAUACAUCUAAAGAAUUCUCU